rnacentral:rRNA from 1 species
UGGGGAAUAUUGCACAAUGGGGGAAACCCUGAUGCAGCGACGCCGCGUGAGCGAAGAAGGCUUUCGAGUCGUAAAGCUCUGUCCUAUGAGAAGAUAAUGACGGUAUCAUAGGAGGAAGCCCCGGCUAAAUACGUGCCAGCAGCCGCGGUAAUACGUAUGGGGCGAGCGUUGUCCGGAAUUAUUGGGCGUAAAGGGUACGUAGGCGGUCUAUUAAGUCAGGUGUGAAAGCGUGAGGCUUAACCUCAUUAAGCACUUGAAACUGAUAGACUUGAGUGAAGGAGAGGAAAGUGGAAUUCCUAGUGUAGCGAUGAAAUGCGUAGAUAUUAGGAGGAAUACCGGUGGCGAAGGCGACUUUCUGGACUUUUACUGACGCUCAGGUACGAAAGCGUGGGGAGCAAACAGG